rnacentral:rRNA from 1 species
GCAACUCGCCUACAUGAAGUCGGAAUUGCUAGUAAUCGCGGAUCAGCAUGCCGCGGUGAAUACGUUCCCGGGCCUUGUACACACCGCCCGUCACACCAUGGGAGUCGGUAACACCCGAAGCCUGUAGUCUAACCGCAAGGGGGACGCAGUCGAAGGUGGGAUUGAUGACUGGGGUGAAGUCGUAACAAGGUACC